UACGGAGGGUGCAAGCGUUAUCCGGAUUCACUGGGUUUAAAGGGUGCGUAGGUGGGAUCUGUAAGUCAGUGGUGAAAUCUUCCAAGCUUAACUUGGAACUGCCGUUGAUACUAUAGAUCUUGAAUGCUGUGGAGGUGAGCGGAAUAUGUCAUGUAGCGGUGAAAUGACUUAGAUAUGACAUAGAACACCAAUUGCGAAGGCAGCUCACUACCCAGAUAUUGACACUGAGGCACGAAAGCGUGGGGAUCAAACAGG
rnacentral:rRNA from 1 species